rnacentral:misc_RNA from 1 species
UUUUUUUAUUUCACAAAUUAAUAAGCUUUUAUAUAUUAAACUUUGAACAUGAACAGAUGAAUUCACAUGAAAUGUGAUACAAGGAGGAUUAUGCAAAUCAACGGAUCACCUGCUAGCUACUCAAGAUUUAUUAUGCUGUGCAACCAAAUGUAAGAUCUAGCUGAAUUCAAUCUAUUCCACCAAGGAUGGAAUAAAGAACAAUAUUGCAUGACAAUUAUAAAAUUACAUUGCCAGAGAAAAUAACAGCCUACACAAUCAUUGCUUGUAGUAGCCACCUUGACGGGGAGGGGGGUAUGGAUUAGGAACAGUGUAAGGAGGUCGAGGAAAUGAUCCAGGUUGCUGUACAUGAGCAUUGUAGUAUGGGCCCUGCCACGCUGGAUAGACAGGUUGGCCAUAUUCCUGACUUGUUGCGGGUGGUUGUUGAACCUGUGCAGGCGGG